CCUACUCCCACCACUAACUCCUCUACUGCACAUCACCAACUUCCCUACUGCAAUACACCCACUACAUCUACUCCUUUACAGGCAAUCAAGCCAUGCCUUUACAGUCAGACUCCUCAUCUGCAAUACAACUAUACAUCAACCAAGUUUCUGCCUUUUUCCAUUAGGCACAAAUUAAUUGAUCACUCACCACAUAUCACUUCGCAAGAAAGAAACUCAAAUUCAUAAGUCUAUACAAAAUAUAUAUUUCAAGCUCAUCUCCUUCAACAAUUCAGCAGCAGCAGCAAACGAUCAGCCCUCUCAUUCAAGGCUUCGAGCAUCAGAAGGAUUAGCACUGCUAUUCCGAUUCAGAGAUAAGGUUAAACGACAGGCUUUGCCUAUACAGGUUGAGCAGUUGAUGGAAUGGAAUGAUGUUGAGCGGGUGUUACUUUGACAUUUCAAGAAAUGUAACCUUGAGUAUACAUCUUCAUAUGUAUAUCUCACACGUUUUCCGCUGCAAAACACUUUGAUUAGGAUAACUUUAUGUUAUGAAAUUGUUACACGUGUUAUUGGGUAAACCACCUUAAUCAGUUCUCAUUUAUGUGUAUGUUUUAUAAGUAUCCAAAUAAUCAUAUAUGAUCCUAGCAUUUUAUCUAUGAGUGACAUUUCCAUAUACUUUAAUGUUAAGUAAUUGUCCAUUUCUAUUUCU